GUGGGGAAUUUUGGACAAUGGGCGCAAGCCUGAUCCAGCAAUGCCGCGUGCAGGAAGAAGGCCUUCGGGUUGUAAACUGCUUUUGUACGGAACGAAAAGACUCCUUCUAAUAAAGGGGGUCCAUGACGGUACCGUAAGAAUAAGCACCGGCUAACUACGUGCCAGCAGCCGCGGUAAUACGUAGGGUGCGAGCGUUAAUCGGAAUUACUGGGCGUAAAGCGUGCGCAGGCGGUUAUAUAAGACAGAUGUGAAAUCCCCGGGCUCAACCUGGGAACUGCAUUUGUGACUGUAUAGCUAGAGUACGGCAGAGGGGGAUGGAAUUCCGCGUGUAGCAGUGAAAUGCGUAGAUAUGCGGAGGAACACCGAUGGCGAAGGCAAUCCCCUGGGCCUGUACUGACGCUCAUGCACGAAAGCGUGGGGAGCAAACAGGAUUAGAUACCCCAGUAGUCC
rnacentral:rRNA from 1 species